GAACUUAAGCAUAUCAAUAAGCGGAGGAAAAGAAACCAACAGGGAUUGCCUCAGUAACGGCGAGUGAAGCGGCAACAGCUCAAAUUUGAAAUCUGGCCGCAAGGUCCGAGUUGUAAUUUGUAGAGGAUGCUUUUGGCGAGGUGCCUUCCGAGUUCCCUGGAACGGGACGCCAUAGAGGGUGAGAGCCCCGUACGGUAGGACCACCAAGCCCCUGUAAAGCUCCUUCGACGAGUCGAGUAGUUUGGGAAUGCUGCUCUAAAUGGGAGGUGUACGUCUUCUAAAGCUAAAUACCGGCCAGAGACCGAUAGCGCACAAGUAGAGUGAUCGAAAGAUGAAAAGCACUUUGAAAAGAGGGUUAAAAAGUACGUGAAAUUGUUGAAAGGGAAGCAUUCAUGACCAGACUUGGGCUUGGUUGAACAUCCGGCGUUCUCGCCGGUGCACUCUGCCAGUCCAGGCCAGCAUCAGUUUGCCCCGGGGGAUAAAGGCGGCGGGAAUGUGGCUCCCUUCGGGGAGUGUUAUAGCCCGUCGUGUAAUGCCCUAGGGCGGACUGAGGAACGCGCUUCGGCACGGAUGCUGGCGUAAUGGUCAUCAAUGACCCGUCUUGAAACACGGACCAAGGAGUCGUCUUCGUAUGCGAGUGUUCGGGUGUCAAACCCCUACGCGUAAUGAAAGUGAACGUAGGUGAGAGCUUCGGCGCAUCACCGACCGAUCCUGAUGUUCUCGGAUGGAUUUGAGUAAGAGCAUACGGGGCCGGACCCGAAA
rnacentral:rRNA from 1 species